rnacentral:rRNA from 1 species
UACGUAGGGACCGAGCGUUGUCCGGAAUCAUUGGGCGUAAAGAGCGUGUAGGCGGCCAAUUAAGUCCUGCGUGAAAUCUCGGGGCUCAACCCCGAGCGGUCGUGGGAAACUGGUUGGCUAGAGUGCGGGAGAGGGAUGUGGAAUUCCAGGUGUAGCGGUGAAAUGCGUAGAUAUCUGGAGGAACACCGGUGGCGAAGGCGGCAUCCUGGACCGGUAUUGACGCUGAUGCGCGAAAGCCAGGGGAGCAAACGGG